CCCUUAGAUGUCCUGGGCCGCACGCGCGCUACACUGAUGCAUUCAACGAGUUUCUUCCUGGUCCGAGAGGAAUGGGUAACCUUUUGAAAGUGCAUCGUGAUAGGGAUAGACUAUUGCAACUAUUGGUCUUCAACGAGGAAUUCCUAGUAGACGUAGUUCAUCAGACUGCAUCGAUUACGUCCCUGCCCUUUGUACACACCGCCCGUCGCUCCUACCGAUUGAAUGCUCAGGUGAGCCAUUCGGACUUUCAUCAUGCUGGUUUCCAGUUUUGAUGAAGGAAAGUCUUGCGAACCUUAUCAUUUAGAGGAAGGAGAAGUCGUAACA
rnacentral:rRNA from 1 species